AGCAGCCGCGGUAAUUCCAGCUCCAAUAGCGUAUAUUAAAGUUGUUGCAGUUAAAAAGCUCGUAGUUGAAUUUCGGGGUCUGUCCGUCGGUCGGGCUUCACGGUCCGUACUGGUGUGAUGGGUUCCUACCUUCUGAAUAGCCGGCAUGCCAUUCAUUUGGUGCGCCGGGGAAGCAGAGCUAUUACCUUGAAAAAAUUAGAGUGCUUAAAGCAGGCUAGUGCUUGAAUAGAUUAGCAUGGAAUAAUAAAAUAGGACGGCAUGGUUCUAUUUUGUUGGUUUCUAGGAUCACCGUAAUGAUUAAUAGGGAUAGUUGGGGGCAUUAGUAUUCAAUUGUCAGAGGUGAAAUUCUUGGAUUUAUUGAAGACUAACUUCUGCGAAAGCAUUUGCCAAGGAUGUUUUCAUUAAUCAAGAACGAAAGUUAGGGG
rnacentral:misc_RNA from 1 species